GACGAACGCUGGCGGCGUGCUUAACACAUGCAAGUCGAACGGAAAGGCCCUGCUUUUGUGGGGUGCUCGAGUGGCGAACGGGUGAGUAACACGUGAGUAACCUGCCCUUUACUUUGUGAUAACUUCAGGAAACUGGGGCUAAUACCGGAUAGGAGCUCCUGCUGCAUGGUGGGGGUUGGAAAGUUUCGGCGGUUGGGGAUGGACUCGCGGCUUAUCAGCUUGUUGGUGGGGUAGUGGCUUACCAAGGCUUUGACGGGUAGCCGGCCUGAGAGGGUGACCGGCAACAUUGGGACUGAGAUACGGCCCAGACUCCUACGGGAGGCAGCAGUGGGGAAUAUUGCACAAUGGGAGGAAGCCUGAUGCAGCAACGCCGCGUGCGGGAUGACGGCCUUCGGGUUGUAAACCGCUUUCGCCUGUGACGAAGCGUGAGUGACGGUAAUGGGUAAAGAAGCACCGGCUAACUACGUG
rnacentral:rRNA from 1 species